rnacentral:rRNA from 1 species
CCUACGGGAGGCAGCAGUGGGGAAUAUUGCACAAUGGGGGAAACCCUGAUGCAGCAACGCCGCGUGAGUGAUGACGGCCUUCGGGUUGUAAAGCUCUGUCUUCAGGGACGAUAAGGACGGUACCUGAGGAGGAAGCCACGGCUAACGACGGGCCAGCAGCCGCGGGAAUACGUAGGUGGCGAGCGUUGGCCGGAUUUACUGGGCGUCACGGGGGCGUAGGCGGACUUUUAAGUGAGAUGGGAAAUCCUCGGGCUCCACUGGAGUGCUGCAUUUCAAACUGGAAGUCUAGAGUGCGGGAGCGGCGACUGCGCUUCCUAGUGUAGCGGUGAACUGCGUCGAGAUUAGGAAGAACACCAGUGGCGACGGCGAUUCUCUGGACUGUACCUGACGCUGAGGCUCGAAAGCGUGGGGAGCAAACAGGAUUAGAUACCCCUGUAGUC